AUUGUUUGAGAUUUUGGGUAUUCAUGUUAUCAUCUUUUUAUUUUUAACAUAUUAAUUACCAUCAAAUUAUUUCCUAUGACAAUUUCCUAUAAUAUAUUAGCAAAAAACUUAAUAUUUAUUUCUACCUUUAAUCUUGGAAGGGCUAACAUGUACUUUCGAUAAAAAGGAAUUUCUUGUGUACCAAGUUAUACCUAGGCUUGGCUUGGAAAUUGGAACCCUUCUUGUAUUGAAUGCAAGCUUUUGGGAGAAAAGCCUUAAGUUGUUGAAUUUAUGUGCUGAUAAUUGA
rnacentral:misc_RNA from 1 species